CAUGCAAGUCGAACGAUGAAGGGAGCUUGCUCCUGGAUUAGUGGCGAACGGGUGAGUAACACGUGAGUAACCUGCCCUUAACUCUGGGAUAAGCCUGGGAAACUGGGUCUAAUACCGGAUAUGACUCCUCAUCGCAUGGUGGGGGGUGGAAAGCUUUUUGUGGUUUUGGAUGGACUCGCGGCCUAUCAGCUUGUUGGUGAGGUAAUGGCUCACCAAGGCGACGACGGGUAGCCGGCCUGAGAGGGUGACCGGCCACACUGGGACUGAGACACGGCCCAGACUCCUACGGGAGGCAGCAGUGGGGAAUAUUGCACAAUGGGCGAAAGCCUGAUGCAGCGACGCCGCGUGAGGGAUGACGGCCUUCGGGUUGUAAACCUCUUUCAGUAGGGAAGAAGCGAAAGUGACGGUACCUGCAGAAGAAGCGCCGGC
rnacentral:rRNA from 1 species